GACUGUACCUCUCCCAUCCGUCUCUCCCAUUUCAAAUACUCCAUCUACUAACUUAUUUUGAAGACUCUUAACGGUCCAUCUCUCCGGCGAAACUCGGCACCACCACCACCGUCGCUGAUUCUCUCCCUCUCUCAAUCCCACUCUCUUUCCCUCUCUAUUCUCACAAUUCCCAAAUUAGGAUGCAUCUCUCUUUCUCCCAAAAAUCUGACUCUCUCAUCUCCGGCGAAACUCGUCUCCAGCAUAUCACCACCGCAACUUCUCUCUCUCACUCACCCUGCUCUGGCCUCCACCUCCUGUCAGGUUGUGCGAAAUUUCUCGUUAAAAUUACCUAGAAACCCUACAUGAAAAAGCGGUGCCUCUAUCUCCCUCCUCCAACGGCACUGCACCCCCCCUCUCCAUCUCCAUCUCCUUCUUUCUCUCUCAAUUGGCGGAAUCGACUCGUGUUUUCCCAACACCAAGAGUCAUAGCCCUCCCAGAUUUCACGCCCCCGGCCUGCUCGCCCGGAGAAGAAAGCCGAGGACGUGGCUGUCUCGGAGUUUGGUCCCCACCGCGGCUGCUACUCGCCAUCAUCAGACGCCGUCGUCUCCUGCAGCAGGUCGCUGGUCCGGAUUCGUGGGCGGCGUCGGGUGGCCCCUGACUCGCGGCCUUGCCGCCGCCGCCAGCUGCGCGAACCCGUCGCCUUCCGCCCUUCCGUCUGUGUGAUCAUGCGUGCAAAUUAAGCUAGAAAAAGUGUUUCUUUAAUUGUCUAGACGGAAUACAUGUCACCAUCGACCUCCUCACGGACUCGCCGUCUGAUUUCGUUGCUGCUGAUUCUCGCCGAGCGGUGAGAGGCGCUCCAGGAUCCACUGAGCAGUCGCUUCGGUCGGUGUCAUACUCCAGCCAUCUCGGCUGCAUUGUCAUACUCCAGCCAUCUCGACUUCUCGGCUUAGGGAAGCUUUAGCAACAAUCUUUCUACUCCCUCUGGAGGGUUUGUAUCUGGCUGGUGCUUGUCUAACGUUCUAGUUUGUGAAGAGGAUGCACCAUUAGAUGUACCUCGUUCAUCUUAUGCUCAUCAGAGAACGUCUUUGUUGAUUAAAGUGAUUGCAAACCUUGAUUGCUUUGUUCCUGAUGUAUACCAGGAUGAGAAGGAUUUGUUUCUCAACAUGUUCAUUUGGUUCAUAGAGAAGGACUAUUAGAAACUGUCAGAUGACAAAGUGUCCACAGUUCACUGUUAAGUCUUUAGUUCCAGGAUUUUUGAAUGAAGAUGAUGUACAACAGCUGAACUAAUU